rnacentral:pre_miRNA from 2 species
ACCUGGCAUACAAUGUAGAAAACUGUGUUUGCAAAGCAACAGCUACAUUGUCUGCUGGGUUUC